ACAGCCUGUGCUGGGUUGGUGCUGAGCAAUAGGAAAAUGAGGCAACAGGCAGGAACUGAUGCACAGGAAUUUCCACCUGAAUCUGAG